rnacentral:rRNA from 1 species
CAUCACUACGCUAGAUGCAUAUCAAUAAGCGGAGGAAAAGAAACUAACAAGGAUUCCCUUAGUAACGGCGAGUGAAGCGGGAAGAGCUCAAAUUUGAAAUCUUCAAGGUUUUACCUUGACGAAUUGUAGUUUAAAGAAGUGUUUUCUGUUGAAGUUUUGGUAAAAGUUCUUUGGAAUAGGACAUCAUAGAGGGUGAGAAUCCCGUAUUUGGUACCAUUCCUUCCUAGCUGUUGUGAUACACUUUCAACGAGUCGGAUUGUUUGGGAAUGCAGUCCAAAAUGGGUGGUAAAUUUCAUCUAAAGCUAAAUAUUGGCGAGAGACCGAUAGCGAACAAGUACCGUGAGGGAAAGAUGAAAAGAACUUUGAAAAGAGAGUUAAACAGUACGUGAAAUUGUCAAAAGGGAAGCGUUUGACACCAGUGUUGUUUAGUUCCGGAAAUCAAUUACGAAUAUUUUAUUUUUGAGAAGUUAUGACUUCGUCGGCUUGCUUCUCUCUUUAUGAAACUUUCUUAAUGCACUUUUCGGUUAACAAGUCAACAUCAAUUUCUUUUGUUGUAAAAGGGUAUGAGGAAGGUGGCUUUCUUUUCGGAGAAAGUGUUUAUAGCCUUGUACCUCUGCAAUCGGAGAGAUUGAGGUCUGCAGCGUAGAUCCUUCGGGGUUAGAUACAUUUGUGCUAAGUUAUAGCUUUUCAUAGACAACUUGUUGACUAUGUUUAGUCUUGUAGCUUACUCGCUUAUGCUAUUUUACCUACGCUUAGGAUGUUGACGAGACUGUCGAUCUC